rnacentral:rRNA from 1 species
UACGUAGGGGGCAAGCGUUGUCCGGAAUGACUGGGCGUAAAGGGAGCGUAGGCGGUUUGGUAAGUCAAAUGUGAAAUCCCACAGCUUAACUGUGGAAUUGCAUUUGAUACUGCUAGACUUGAGUUCAGGAGAGGUAAGUAGAAUUCCUAGUGUAGCGGUGGAAUGCGUAGAUAUUAGGAGGAACACCAGUGGCGAAGGCGACUGUCUGGUCUGUAACUGACACUGAGGCGCGAAAGCGUGGGGAGCAAACAGG